GGUGACCGGCCACAUUGGGACUGAGAUACGGCCCAGACUCCUACGGGAGGCAGCAGUGGGGAAUAUUGCACAAUGGGCGGAAGCCUGAUGCAGCAACGCCGCGUGCGGGAUGACGGCCUUCGGGUUGUAAACCGCUUUCGCCUGUGACGAAGCGUGAGUGACGGUAAUGGGUAAAGAAGCACCGGCUAACUACGUGCCAGCAGCCGCGGUGAUACGUAGGGUGCGAGCGUUGUCCGGAUUUAUUGGGCGUAAAGGGCUCGUAGGUGGUUGAUCGCGUCGGAAGUGUAAUCUUGGGGCUUAACCCUGAGCGUGCUUUCGAUACGGGUUGACUUGAGGAAGGUAGGGGAGAAUGGAAUUCCUGGUGGAGCGGUGGAAUGCGCAGAUAUCAGGAGGAACACCAGUGGCGAAGGCGGUUCUCUGGGCCUUUCCUGACGCUGAGGAGCGAAAGCGUGGGGAGCGAACAGGCUUAGAUACCCUGGUAGUCCACGCUGUAAACGGUGGGUACUAGGUGUGGGGUCCAUUCCACGGGUUCCGUGCCGUAGCUAACGCUUUAAGUACCCCGCCUGGGGAGUACGGCCGCAAGGCUAAAACUCAAAGGAAUUGACGGGGCCCCGCACAAGCGGCGGAGCAUGCGGAUUAAUUCGAUGCAACGCGUAGAACCUUACCUGGGUUUGACAUGGAUCGGGAGUGCUCAGAGAUGGGUGUGCCUCUUUUGGGGUCGGUUCACAGGUGGUGCAUGGCUGUCGUCAGCUCGUGUCGUGAGAUGUUGGGUUAAGUCCCGCAACGAGCGCAACCCUUGUUCACUGUUGCCAGCACGUUAUGGUGGGGACUCAGUGGAGACCGCCGGGGUCAACUCGGAGGAAGG
rnacentral:rRNA from 1 species